GAGUGAACCGGGAAGAGCUCAAUUUGAAAUCUGGCGUCCUCAGGGCGUCCGAGUUGUAAUCUAUAGAGGCGUUUUCCGCGCCGGACCGUGUAUAAGUCUCCUGGAACGGAGUAUCAAAGAGGGUGACAAUCCCGUGCUUUACACGACGACCGGUGCUAUGUGAUACGUCUUCUACGAGUCGAGUUGUUUGGGAAUGCAGCUCAAAACGGGUGGUAAACUCCAUCUAAAGCUAAAUAUUGGUGGGAGACCGAUAGCGAACAAGUACCGUGAGGGAAAGAUGAAAAGCACUUUGGAAAGAGAGUUAAACAGUAUGUGAAAUUGUUGAAAGGGAAACGAUUGAAGUCAGUCGUGUCCAUUGGGUUCAGCCGGUCCUGCCGGUCUACUCCCUUUGGACGGGUCAACAUCAGUUCUGACCGGCGGAUAAUGGCACGAGGAACGUGGCACCCUCCGGGGUGUGUUAUAGCCUCGCGUCGCAUACGCUGGUCGGGACUGAGGAACGCAGCUCGCCCUCACGGGCCGGGGUUUGCCCACGUCCGAGCUUAGGAUGUUGACAUAAUGGCUUUAAACGACCCGUCUUGAAA
rnacentral:rRNA from 1 species